rnacentral:ribozyme from 16 species
AAUAUAUGACAGAGUAGCAUGCACAGUAAUGCUAUAAGAAUCAGAGCUCAUUGCAAUUAUUUCUUCUUCUCCUUUUUGACUUUUUUUCUCCUUUUUCUUUUUCUU